AUUGAACGCUGGCGGCAGGCCUAACACAUGCAAGUCGAACGAGUGGCGGACGGGUGAGUAAUGUCUGGGAAACUGCCCGAUGGAGGGGGAUAACUACUGGAAACGGUAGCUAAUACCGCAUACCAUCGGAUGUGCCCAGAUGGGAUUAGCUAGUAGGUGGGGUAACGGCUCACCUAGGCGACGAUCCCUAGCUGGUCUGAGAGGAUGACCAGCAACACUGGAACGGAGAAAGGGCCACGAUUCGUACGUGAGGCAGAAGUGGGGAAUAUUGCACAAUGAGCGCAAGCCUGAUGCAGCCAUGCGGCGUGUAUGAAGAAGUCUUUCGGGCUGUAAAGUACGUUCAGCGAGGAGGCGUUACUCGAAGAAGAAGCACCGGCUAACUCCGUGCCAGCAGCCGCGGUAAUAC
rnacentral:rRNA from 1 species